rnacentral:rRNA from 1 species
GGAUGCGAUCAUACCAGCACUAAAGCACCGGAUCCCAUCAGAACUCCGAAGUUAAGCGUGCUUGGGCGAGAGUAGUACUUGGAUGGUUGACCUCCUGGGAAGUCCUCGUGUUGCAUUCC